UACGAAGGGUGCAAGCGUUACUCGGAAUUACUGGGCGUAAAGCGUGCGUAGGUGGUUCGUUAAGUCUGAUGUGAAAGCCCUGGGCUCAACUUGGGAAUGGCAUUGGAUACUGGCGACCUAGAGUGCGGUAGAGGGGUGUGGAAUUCCCGGUGUAGCAGUGAAAUGCGUAGAUAUCGGGAGGAACAUCUGUGGCGAAGGCGACACCCUGGACCAGCACUGACACUGAGGCACGAAAGCGUGGGGAGCAAACAGG
rnacentral:rRNA from 1 species